rnacentral:rRNA from 1 species
GACGAACGCUGGCGGCGUGCCUAAUACAUGCAAGUAGUACGCACAGUUUAUACCGUAGCUUGCUACACCAUAAACUGUGAGUUGCGAACGGGUGAGUAACGCGUAGGUAACCUGCCUGGUAGCGGGGGAUAACUAUUGGAAACGAUAGCUAAUACCGCAUAAUAUUAAUUAUUGCAUGAUAAUUGAUUGAAAGAUGCAAUUGCAUCACUACCAGAUGGACCUGCGUUGUAUUAGCUAGUAGGUGAGGUAACGGCCCACCUAGGCGAAGAUACAUAGCCGAACUGGGAGGGGUGUCGGCCAAACUGGGACUGAGACACGGCCCAAAACCCUACGGGAGGCAGCAGUAGGGGAACUUCGGCAAUGGACGAAAGUCUGACCGAGCCACGCCGCGUGAGGUAAGAAGGUUUUCGGAUCGUAAAGCUCUGUUGUAAGAGAAGAACGGGUGUGAGAGUGGAAAGUUCACACUGUGACGGUAUCUUACCAGAAAGGGACGGCUAACUACGUG